GUACACUCCUACGGGAGGCAGCAGUGGGGAAUAUUGAACAAUGGGCGCAAGCCUGAUCCAGCCAUGCCGCGUGAGUGAUGAAGGCCCUAGGGUUGUAAAGCUCUUUCACCGGUGAAGAUAAUGACGGUAACCGGAGAAGAAGCCCCGGCUAACUUCGUGCCAGCAGCCGCGGUAAUACGAAGGGGGCUAGCGUUGUUCGGAUUUACUGGGCGUAAAGCGCACGUAGGCGGACUAUUAAGUCAGGGGUGAAAUCCCGGGGCUCAACCCCGGAACUGCCUUUGAUACUGGUAGUCUUGAGUUCGAGAGAGGUGAGUGGAAUUCCGAGUGUAGAGGUGAAAUUCGUAGAUAUUCGGAGGAACACCAGUGGCGAAGGCGGCUCACUGGCUCGAUACUGACGCUGAGGUGCGAAAGCGUGGGGAGCAAACAGGAUUAGAAACCCGGGUAGUCCCAUGA
rnacentral:rRNA from 1 species